rnacentral:tRNA from 1 species
GGGUAUAGCUCAGUGGUAGAGUGCAUGCAUAGCAUGCACGGGGUCCUGGGUUCAAUCCUCAGUACCUCCA